rnacentral:rRNA from 1 species
UACGGAGGGGGCAAGCGUUGUUCGGAAUUACUGGGCGUAAAGGGCGUGUAGGCGGUUAGGUAAGUCAGCUGUGAAAGCCCCGAGCUUAACUUGGGAAUUGCAACUGAAACUGCCUAGCUAGAGUUUUGGAGAGGAAAGCGGAACUCCCAGUGUAGCGGUGAAAUGCGUAGAUAUUGGGAGGAACACCGGUGGCGAAGGCGGCUUUCUGGACAAAAACUGACGCUGAGGCGCGAAAGCUAGGGGAGCAAACGGGAUUAGAUACCCCGGUAGUCCUAGCCGUAAACGAUGGAUACUGGGUGUUGAAGGUAUUGAGUCCUUCAGUGCCGAAGCUAACGCAUUAAGUAUCCCGCCUGGGGAGUACGGUCGCAAGACUGAA